UGCGUAGGUGGUUGUUUAAGUCUGUCGUGAAAGCCCUGGGCUCAACCUGGGAAUUGCGAUGGAUACUGGGCGACUAGAGUGUGGUAGAGGGUGGCGGAAUUCCCGGUGUAGCAGUGAAAUGCGUAGAGAUCGGGAGGAACAUCCGUGGCGAAGGCGGCCACCUGGGCCAACACUGACACUGAGGCACGAAAGCGUGGGGAGCAAACA
rnacentral:rRNA from 1 species